rnacentral:tRNA from 12 species
CCGCCCGUAGCUCAGCUGGAUAGAGCGCUGCCCUCCGGAGGCAGAGGUCGCAGAUUCGAAUUCUGCCGGGCGGGCCA